CCAGGAGCCACCAGUGCUCCAUGAUGAGGCUGAGGGACAAAUCCCCCCUGGCUUUGCAAUCAGGGAACAGGCUGGCUGGUAAGUGACUGGAAUGGUGACCUUCCCCUGCCCAACAAAACACAUCUUUGUCAAAGUGGAGCAGAUAAACAGCUUUCCAGCCCCAGCUCAAACACCAAGGAUUUCCUGCCACCAUAAAGCUGUAAUUGCUGAAUUAAUAACAGCAGGGUUUGAAGAGUGACUGCACAGACUCUCUGACCCAGGAUGUUAUGAGAACCACUGCAAGGUGUUUCGCUUAAGGCAGCUGUGUUGCUAAGCCAGUGGGGACUAGAAAUCAAAUUUCAGGGACAAGCCAGGCUACUUGUCCUUCUCCCAGGGAACUUGAGCCCCAAAUCUGUUAGUCUGCUCAGCACUUCUGGGAGGUGGAAUUCUCCACCUAGCUGCAAAAGCAUGGAUGCAAAGG
rnacentral:lncRNA from 1 species